AACGAACGCUGGCGGCGCGCCUAAUACAUGCAAGUCGAGCGAGAAGACGUAGCAAUACGUUUGUAAAGCGGCGAACGGGUGAGGAAUACAUGGGUAACCUACCCUCGAGUGGGGAAUAACUAGCCGAAAGGUUAGCUAAUACCGCGUACGCUCCUUGGACUUCGGUUCAGGGAGGAAAGCGAUACCGUGGGUAUCGCGCUCUUGGAUGGGCUCAUGUCCUAUCAGCUUGUUGGUGAGGUAACGGCUCACCAAGGCUUCGACGGGUAGCUGGUCUGAGAGGACGAUCAGCCACACUGGCACUGCGACACGGGCCAGACUCCUACGGGAGGCAGCAGUAAGGAAUAUUGCGCAAUGGGCGAAAGCCUGACGCAGCGACGCCGCGUGGGGGAUGAAGGUCUUCGGAUUGUAAACCCCUUUCGGA
rnacentral:rRNA from 1 species